rnacentral:rRNA from 1 species
CCUACGGAGGCAGCAGCAGAGAAUAUUGCGCAAUGAGCGAAAGCUUGACGCAGCGACACCGCGUGUGGGAUGACGGAUCUAGGUUUGUAAACCACUUUCAGGAGGGAAGAAAAUGACGGUACCUCCACAAGAAGCCCCGGCCAACUACGUGCCAGCAGCCGCGGUAAUACGUAGGGGGCGAGCGUUGUCCGGAUUUAUUGGGCGUAAAGAGCUCGUAGGCGGUUCAACAAGUCGGUCGUGAAAGUUCAGGGCUCAACCCUGAAAUGUCGAUCGAUACUGUUGUGACUAGGAUACGGUAGAGGUGAGUGGAAUUCCGAGUGUAGCGGUGAAAUGCGUAGAUAUUCGGAGGAACACCAAUUGCGAAGGCAGCUCACUGGGCCGCUAUCGACGCUGAGGAGCGAAAGCUAGGGGAGCAAACAGGAUUAGAUACCCUGGUAGUCCUAGCUGUAAACGAUGGAUACUAGACGUAGGAACUGGAUUGACGGUUUCUGUGUCGCAGCUAACGCGUUAAGUAUCCCGCCUGGGGAGUACGGUCGCAAGACUAAAACUCAAAGGAAUUGACGG